CCAGUCGAUCCUGACGACAUGAUCGCAUAUAUCCUUAAUGGACUUGAUGAGGAGUUUGAUUCCGUUGUGUCCACACUUGUGGCCAAGGAUCCCCUCACAAUCGCUGAUGUUUACUCAAAGCUCUUGAGUGUUGAAA
rfam:Oryza punctata chromosome 4, whole genome shotgun sequence.